GAGUGCCCAGGCCAGAACUAUAUAAGCCCUGGUCUGAGUUAGCCAGAGAAACCGGGCUGGGACAGAAGGUGGACUUCUGAAGGCUCCAAGCAAAGCUGCAGCAGCCCUGCAAGUGAGAGCAACAGGAAUUAGGACUCAGAGAUGUGGAGCCCAUGGACAUGACUGAAAACUGUGAUGCUCUUCUUUAACAUAUGCAUGGAGGAUUCACACACAAAACAACAAAUCUGAACACAAUAAAGCAAGGCUUGUUGAUCAGGAAAUGGAACACAAUAUUUUACAGCAAUUUGAAAAAUAUAGAGACUGAGAGAUGAAGCCCAUCGUGUCCCAGGAAGUCCAGUGCGGAUUGUGGUCCAGGAAGCCAAAACCCGCAUGAUGGCACCAACUCCGGAGCCGCAGGUUGAACUCUGACACAGGCAUCUUAUUCUGCAGAGAACGAAAGUAACCAUCAAUCUCAUCUGUUGUGGCCCUGCUCCCUCACAGCCUGCUCACCUCUGCCUGGAGUUCCCCCACCUGCUCCUCCAGGGACUCAAGCAGGGCACACAUAGGACAGUAGCAUCUGCAAACCACAGUCAAGAAACUCAGCUGACUCCGACAUUUAACAAGGCAUAGUUCUGUCCCAGUGGCAGAUGUUGCGGCAAAUGGAAAGAGAAGAUAUGUGUCUUACAUUCAAGGAACUCAGUCAUUUGGCAGCAGAAUAUGGAAAAGCCUGCCUGAAGCUGAGGUUGUCCCAAUUUUAUCUAACCUUCUGUGUUUAUCAGGCACACAUUUUGAAUCUUUAUUUUCCCAAAACUAGCUGAGGCUCAAAUUAUACCAAGAAAUCAGGGACAGUGUCUCAACUGACCUGAAUUGUGGUUGUAAAUCAUUACACUUAUUUAUAUCAGAACAAAUUAAUGCUAGAAUCCCAGAAAGCUUACCUUAUUGGUAAGGGAUUCCUGAAUUUCUAAAUCAAUAGAAGCCACUAUUUCUAGCGCCAGUUACAAAAAAGCAAGCUGACAUUAAAUGUGUCCUUGGUCUAAGACUACAUAUUACCCAUCCUGUCCCAUAGACCAGUUUAAUUGCUGGGGGGGAAUAUUGCCUUUGGGAAAGAAGAAAAAGAAAGAAACACUUAUCGGGAAGAUUGUGAAUUUUUUGUUUUUGGUUUUUUUAAUGGUGGUUGUUUGAAGCUGCUCAGAGAUUUGGUAUGUUAAAGACACAAAAAAGAUAGCAAAGUACAGAGGAAUCAGUCAAAAUGCAUGGUAAAUGCAAUGUAUAACAUGGCUCUGAAGUUUAUAAUGUGCAUUCCUCCACACAUGGUAGUACACAUAGCAAUAUACUGCAUUGGGAGGUUUUCUAGUGAUUAGCUGUUCUGCUGUAUUUGGUCCUUUGCACUUCUUCAGCCAUCGUAAGACACUAUCACAUCUUUCACUACAAUUCAAACUACUUUAUCUACCAAGUCUCACUGAUUUUGAAAUUCUAUUGAAAAUACAAUAGACUUCUUAGCUACUGAAAUAAAUUAUAAAGGAUAAAAUACAAAGUACAGUCUAGAACCACAUAUACAGGUCAAGUGGGAAUCACUGAAAGUAUCUAUUGGCUUAUAUGGCAGUGUUGGAGUGAUGUAGCUUGAUGACCCAGGAAUUAUAUGAGAGUCAAGGAUCUUUGUGGAUGAUAUCUUUUACUGGACCAACUGCAUGACUGAGAUAGACUUAGACAAGCAUUCAAAUGUGAAGCAUUCUUGAUCACCUGCUUAUAAUACCCCUCUGUUGCCUACACCAGACAGACAGGGUGAUCUCAAUAUGCAAGAAUGAACCUAAACCCCUGAACACUAAACUGACAUCUCAGCUGCAAAAAGACCCAAAAGGCUGAAGCAGAACACUUCAACCUCCCUGGGCACUCUAUUGCUGACCUCAGAAUUGCUGUUCUCAAGCAAACAAAAGAAAAGAAAAGAACAAUAGGACCGCAGACUGUGGAACAAGAAAUCAUCCGCAAACUGGACUCUGUUAACUAUGGUUUAAACAGGGAUUAUGGAUCCUUAUGUCAUCACCUGGACUAGUUUUUAUGACCCCCACCCCCCACCUUUGUUCCUAUGGGUUCUUUGCUUGUAUGCCUCUUAUAGCAUUUCUCCUCCCCCUUCCCACCUCCCUCUCUCUCCAGCGUCCUUAUCUAUUGUAUUUUAAUCACUCACUUCACUUUAUACUCUGCUCUCUGCAUGUUCUUUCACAACCUCUGAUAAAGUGAACUUCAUUUCCCUAAAGCUUGUGCUCUCUUUAUAUAUAUCUUAUUUAGUCAGUCUAUAAAGGUACAUAUUUACUCUGCCUUCUAUUCCAACCACACAUCUGGUCAAAUAAAACAAAAAUCUUUGCUUCUCACAUAUCUGCUUAUAUGGCCUUAAUCCAACAAUAUCUGGGCGUAAGCCAAAAAUUAAAAAAUUGGAAAUAUACUAACACUAUUUCUACUUCUUCCUUCCAUGUCUUUGUAAUGAUACCUACAUGUUACAGGUUAAAUGUUAAGAUAAACAAAAGACCACAGCUUUGAUUUAAAUAAUUGAUUUUCCACAUGUGUGGAACAUACAUGGAUAUUAAAUGGAUUUUCAAUGCUUUGUGCUUUGCCUGCACUGGGGUGAAAUUCAGCCCUAGGCUAACAAUGUACAUUAUGCGCUUUUUUCCUAUUUUGAAGCUUAAAUGGGGUGUAAAUGACAUGUGAGUAUUGCCUAGGCCUUGAGCUGACCCCUCUGAACAAAGCUGAAUGUCACCUUGUUACAAGGAAUUAUAUUUCCAUUUUCUUUCACAAUUAGUUAACACUGUUUUUAUUGCAGCAUGGAUAAUCAGAUGAAGGCAAUCUCUAGCUAGGCAAUGACAUCCUAAACUAUUCACACUUACGAGAAAGAAGGGCAGGCAACUGCUCUCUGGGUAGGAGAUAAGUGAAAGAUUAAUAUCAAAAGGUCAGACAUUUAUGAAGAUCUUUUUUGAGACUAACAAAUCCUCAAAACCUGGGUAGCAAUCUUGUGAGGUGAUUUCUCAUCAUAUUUGGCACUCCUUCUUGAUCUUUGCCAAAAAUUUGGCUCUGAAGAGGUGAUCAAAAAAUUAAAAAAUAAAUGUCAGUGUUAAACAAUGCUUUUAGUCUCUAAAGUAUUUGGGUUCAAUAAUACAAACAAGUAUAGUUCUUAUUUUCUCCAGCAAGUGUUACCAAAAUGCAAUCAAGAUCUAAGCCAAAGAAGCACCUUCAUUCUCUAGAAAUCUGAGAUACACGUUUCACAAACUGAUUACAUAUGCCACUAUAACAACAGUUCAUGUUCUCUUAGAAUUUAAAGGAGAAAAAAAUAAAAAUCUAUAUAUUAUUCACCAUAUUGGUAACAAUUAAUUUAUUGUUGCUGACUGAAAGGAGUUCAAAAUAAUGAUAAUAGGACUUUUAAGUAUUCAUUACAUGAAAGGUUCCUAAAACAGAAUAGGGUUCAUUCAGAUUAAUGAUGUUUCAGAUCCAAUUAUUUUGUCUUUUAGACUAUUCCUGUUGGGGAGUUGCUGCUACUAGUUAAUAUUUCAUCUGGCUUAGAGUUCUUGAAUUUAUAGUGUAUGCAGAAUUAUCUCCUUGGAUCUCUCAAUGUUUCCUUAUGCAAUGUUCUAAGAGACAACAUCAGUUAAUUAUUAUGAAUGUAUAAAACAUCUGACCAGCAGGUAUUGGAAAAUUGCAUCUAGGUAAUUCCCUGUCUCAUGUAAUAAACAAAGAUCUUUUAGAAUGGUUCAACAUCAGAAUACUUUCUUCUUAAGAAAUGGAAUUAUUCCUACCUCAUACAUUUAAUGAUCUUAACUUUUUUAAAGAGACAACUGUUAAAAAUCCAGGUCCAUUUAGAGGUGUUUUAGCUACAGUGGAGAAUGCUGGGUUUAACAGACAGCACUGGUGCAGGGUACUGAAGGAAGUCUUCCAUGUCAGUUGAAAAAGUUUGAAGAAAACUCCUCUUGAGGUCUCUGAUACCUACAAAGUGGGCCUGUGGAGAAUGACACACCAAGACAGACAUAUGACCAAGGCAGUAAGAUGGAAAGAGGCUCCACUCUGCAAGGCCACCUGCAUUUUUUCAUUUUUUUUCUGCUUCUUUCAGUCCCAGAAUGUCUGUGACUCCAAAGUCACUCGCACAGUUUUGUUUGAUGGGUUUUUUAACCUAUUUUGUCUG